CACCUGCAAGUCUUAUGAGAGGCAUCCAGAGGCAACUUGAUGGGGCCUGAGGAGUGGAUCCCAUGGCUACUAGGCUCAGCCAUAGACAAGAGCCCAGACCUGAAUCCAGCAUACUCACCGUUUGUAUUUGGAGGAACACGUGGCUGGAACGGAUUCUGGAAUCAUCCUUUGAUACCUAAAAUGGGUGUGCAAGUUGACAGUGGACAAGAAGGCGUCUGGGAUUGAUGGAUCAGAUGAUGGGUCUGUGAAGACAAUGAAGCCAGGAAUUCCCAGUGAGCCCAGCCAGCCAUGCCUGAUCCAUCAAGGGAGGUAGGCCAAGGGAGCUUCAUGAACUGGCCCCCGCCAUGGAUCCCCAGAUCAUGCCAGGGAAACACUGGUCUGCCAGGUGGAGAAGAAGGGACGAUCUGCUUUGUCCUCCUGAUUCAUGGCGGUCAAAAUAAGCUGAGCUUCUCUCAGUUUCUUCCUAGCUGGGCCCUCACUGAGGACAAGACUCGAGUCAUCCAUGUUCUACGUGAUGUCUAAACCAUUCCGACCUUUGCUCUCCACCUCUAACCCCGCUGCUUCCCUCCUCAACGUCUGACUCUGAUUCCAUCUUCACCCUGGGUUACCAUGACUACCCCAAACAUGAGCUCCACAAUCUCUCGGGGUCCUCAGCUGCCCACCUUCAGUCUUGG
rnacentral:lncRNA from 1 species